GUAUAAUGAUGAAAAACAUGCGUGUCAGCUGACUCUGUAAACCUCUGCUGUGUUGUUGCUUAGGUCAGCGUUUUGUUGACCCAAGUCUUCAGGGCAGCAGAGCUACAGAGACAUGAUCAUAUUUCACUACUUCUGAAUAC